CAAACAGGAGAAGAGGGGAGACGUAGCAGAAGAAGUGACCAUAUCAAGUAAAAACGCCACUGACUUGAUCCUUGUUCAGUGUGUGUGUGUGUGUGUGCUGGCUUGUGUGUGGGACGUCUGCGACUGCAACCAAACAAACCAGUGGACCAACCUCAGCAAACCAAAACAGAAAUCAAAACAGAGAAGGACGCCAUCUAGUAGCAGGUGAACCAGAAAAGCGGCAAAGGAAGAGCAAGGAUCCACUCUUCUGCUGGCUUUCCUUGCACCGCACAAAGCAGCGGCGCCGUGCACGGAGCUGAACGCGCCAAGGCAGGCGAAGCGGGGGAGGGGCAAAGCGUGCGGCUGCCAGAGGUUCUCGUUUUUGCUGUUCUCCUCUCGUGGGGUGGCUCGGGUGCGUUUCGGAGUGGUGCUGUACGAAAGAAGCGGCGCGCCGCUACCCUUCCAGAGGAGGCCCUCGACACACCGCACAUUCCCUCAUUUUUGUCUUCAGGCUCGAUCACAGCUUCGUAUUCUUUGGCUUUCUCUUUUCCGGGCUCGUCUAUCCUCCUUCGUCCCUGUCCGUGUCUGUGUUUUGAUUUUUAUUACUAUUAUUAUUUUAUCUUUUUUUUUUCGGUGUGGUGGAGAAAGAGGCUUAUUGUGCGCGUGCGUGCGCCCUGGGGAGUGCUGGCGAUUGAGCCUGCAGUGCGCUGUCGUUGCAAAUUACAGUGUUCUCCGUUGUGAGGAUGCAGGAUGGCCGACGGUCCACCUCGGUUCUUCACGAAGCCAGAGGAGUACGUGGGCGUUAAUAACCACCGGCGGACGCUUUUCUUAGACAUGGACGAGACUCUUGUCCACUGUUACUUUGAGAAACCGACGUUUUUUAUCGACACCAAUGAAGACUUCUUCCAAUUCACGCUGGAGGACGACCCCAGUGUGACCUACUACGCGUUUAGGCGACCUGGGUUGAAUGAAUUCCUUUACCAGUGCGCAGAGCACUACGAUAUGCGUAUCUUCACCGCCGGCGAGGACCUGUACGCGCGGACGCUGCUUCGGUGGCUGCUGCCUGAUAAUCUUAUUGACGAGUCUCGGUGGUACACCCGCGACGCGUGCGUAGGCGACGGCUACGGGCGCUUAAUAAAGAAUCUCAGCAUGCUGGACGGUUUUCAAUUUGAGGAGCGCACCGCCUUAAUCCUGGACGACUCGGCACCUGAUAAUGUGUAUCCGCAUCAGAACGCACUCGCCAUUCCCCGCUUCGCGCCACAAACAGGUCGUACAGAUGAGGAGAACUAUGGGCGAAUGCAGGCGGAUAGGGGCUUGGAAAUGUUUGGCAGAAUGCUAUGCGGCGAGCAUUUUACGCGGUGCGACGACGUUCGUGUCCCCAUAGCACGUUUUUAUGCACUUAUACGAACUUACACACGAAGCAGCACAGCCAAGUCAGAGAUGUGACGGUAGCUGCACCGCCCACUCCUCUCUACGCUUUCCCUAACAGGUCCGAUGCCGUGGUGGUGCGGGGCGGCUCUAUGUAUAUACAAGGAUGGUUGCUGGUGUCCUUUUCUUGUGCGGGUGUGUGAACGCGAGUGUGCGGAGUCGAAGCUCUCCGUCGUAGCUCUUCAUCUCUCUCUUUCCCUCGAUGCAGCGCUCGACCCCACACAUCCAUCGCACCAAGGAGCGAAUGGUGAUGCCCUCUUCGCAGAGGUGGUCUCACACACAACCGCACCCAUGCACAAACCUCACACCACGCGGGCAAGGGCGUUCAUCUGCACAGCCGUGUGCGAGGUGGAGCCCACAAAAGGUGUACAUUCCACAGGGCCGUGCGAAGCUGAUCGCAAAUCGUUUUUUUUUUUGCGGGUGAAUGUGCUUUUCUUUGGUUAAGGGGGGGGGUGUUUUAGUGUGCAGCGGUCUCUGCAGUUUGUUGGUCUCACAGGCUUUUUGUUUUUCUUUUUACUGUGCCCCUCCCUACUCCUCCUCCUCCUCCUUCGUGAUUCUUCCUUCCACCUCUACGGACUUCGGGUCUCACCACACACACACACACACACUCUCUGCGUCUUUUUAUCUACUUUCCUGAAGGAAAAAAAGUCCAACAAAGAGGAGUAUCGCCCUUUCUCUAUAUUGGCCGGAAAAAGAAACGCACGUACAAGCGGGGUGAGGGUGGGGGACAACACCAAAGAGCUUCAACAAGGACUGCCAGGCUAAUAAAAUGUAAGCGGUAGGGGACAAUGGACAAGCGAAGCACCGUCUCUGAUGGGAGUCACAUGAAAGCGUAGUCUUGUGCGCUCUCCUUGAAUUCAGUCAAGUAAACAGUUGGGCUCUUUGUGCUGUGGGUCCUUCACCUCUCGACCUCCGUUUCUGCUCUCUUCUGUUAGUCUCUGCACUCGACUCUCCGCUAAAUGUGCAAGAUGAAGCAUGGGUGCGGGGAAGCGAAAACAGCGACAAGGGGUAUUGUGUGACUGCCUCUCCGUCAUGGUUGCUACAGGUCGUUUCUCCUUCUCUCCCGUGGACACCCCCUCUUCUCUCUCUUUGGCUCUGCUCUUCACCGGCUACUCCUGUUGGUACGCCUUCUUCACGGUCGCCCUAACGAUGGGGAACUUUC
rnacentral:misc_RNA from 1 species